CCCUUUCUCUCUUCUUUUCUUUACGAUAGAAAAUCAGAUCACAUCUCACAUCUGGUGCACCCCCUUAUUUUCUCCUUUUAUUAGGCAUCCGAGAGGAGUAGAUAAGGAUAAUUCUUAUCCCAUAAGAAUUUGAAUUCAUCCAUAUCCAAGAGGAGAAAGAGAGAGCAUUGAGAAGGAGUUUGGCAUGCACUUUCUUCAUGCAAAAUAAAGUGGAGUGCAAGAAAUGGCAUGGAAUCAUAUGGGGUAGUGC
rnacentral:lncRNA from 1 species